UGGUAAUGGGCAAAGAGACACCUUGUUGUUGGUGUUGCUCUUAUAUAUCAGUCAGGGACAGAGCAGAUGACAGUUCUUUAUUCAUCCUAGUUUGAUUCCUGGUUUGGUGGGCAAAGCUGUUUUAUGCAUAGGACACACAG